rnacentral:rRNA from 1 species
UUAAGCCUACGGGGCGCAGCAGUGAGGAAUAUUGGUCAAUGGCCGGAAGGCUGAACCAGCCAAGCCGCGUGAAGGACGAAGGUGCCAAGCAUUGUAAACUUCUUUUGUCAAGGGACAAAAUCAGGCUCGAGAGCCUGACCGAGGGUACGUGAAGAAAAAGCAUCGGCUAACUCCGUGCCAGCAGCCGCGGUGAUACGGAGGAUGCGAGCGUUAUCCGGAUUUAUUGGGUUUAAAGGGUGCGUAGGCGGAUUGUUAAGUCAGCGGUAAAAGCCCGGGGCUC